UUUCCGUAGGUGAACCUGUGGAAGGAUCAUUAAAAAAUUGGACUCCAUUGGUGAGUUCAUUAAUAAUCCCUACCCUUUGUGAAUUUGUUUGUUUGAAUAAUUUUUUUUCCAAAAAAAAUUAUUGAAUGUCUUUCCCUGUUUUGGUGGAGCUUGUAAAGUGAAACCAGGCAGGGGAAUGGCAAACAAUAAUUAUUUUUGAAAAAGACCAUUUUUUAAAAUUAAACUUUUUGUAUUCAUUUGUCUAAAAUUAAUUUUUAUAAUAUAAAAACAACUUUUGACAAUGGAUCUCUUGGUUCUCGCAACGAUGAAGAACGCAGCAAAAUGCGAUAAGUAGUGUGAAUUGCAGAAUACGUGAAUCAUCGAAUCUUCGAACGCAUAUUGCACUUUUUUAGUUUACUAGAAAAGUAUGUCUGUUUGAGUAUCAGUAAAAUAUUCUCAUAAAAAACAUUGUUUUUUUUAUGGUUAUGAGUGUUUUACAACGAUAACAAGUUGUUUCACUUUAAAUUCUUUGUUAUCAAAAAAAUCAUUAAAAGCUAAUUUUAAAGAUUUUUUAAAAUUGGAUAAAAUUUUCCCGUAAAAAGGAAUAACCUAAACAAUUUUAAAAAAUUAAAAUUGGUUUGAUUUUUUUGAAACCCAAAGGAAAAAAAAACGAAAUUAACUUGAUCUCAAAUCAGAUAAGAGUACCCGCUGAACUUAAGCAUAUCAAUAAGCGGAGGAAAAGAAACUAACUAGGAUUCCCUCAGUAACGGCGAGUGAAGCGGGAAGAGCUCAAAUUUGAAAUCUUCAAGGUUUUACCUUGACGAAUUGUAGUUUAAAGAAGUGUUUUCUGUUGGAGUUUUGGUAAAAGUUCUUUGGAAAAGGACAUCAUAGAGGGUGAGAAUCCCGUAUUUGACCAUUAUCUCCAGCUUUGUGAUACACUUUCAAAGAGUCGGAUUGUUUGGGAAUGCAGUCCAAAAUGGGUGGUAAAUUUCAUCUAAAGCUAAAUACUGGCGAGAGACCGAUAGCGAACAAGUACCGUGAGGGAAAGAUGAAAAGAACUUUGAAAAGAGAGUUAAACAGUACGUGAAAUUGUCAAAAGGGAAGCGUUUGACACCAGUGUUGUUUUCUCGAAAAUCAAUUAAAAAAGGCCGGAUUUUGUGUUGUAUUGACUUUAUCAGCUUUCUGCACUCUUUUCUUGUCUUUUUUAAUGCACUUUUCGUUUAACAAGUCAACAUCAAUUUCUUUUGUUGUAAAAGGGUCAUUGGAAGGUGGCUUUCUUUUCGGAGAAAGUGUUUAUAGCCUUUGGCCUCUGCAAUCGGAGAGAUUGAGGUCUGCAGCGUAGAUCCUUCGGGGUUAGAUACAUUUGUGCUAAGUUAUAGCCUUUCAUAGACAACUUGUUGACUAUGAUCAGUCAUGUAGCUUACUCGCUUAUGCUAUUU
rnacentral:misc_RNA from 1 species